rnacentral:lncRNA from 1 species
GGACAGGCGAUGGAGACGGGGAUCAGAUGGGAGGGUGACCUGGUGAGAGAUUUUCCAGCUGGCAGAAAUGUCCUCUACCUUGAGGGAGGCGUGUGACAUGGGAGUUCUGUUUAAAGAGGAGAAUGGAUGGUUACACAUCCUGCUUGGGAUCCAAUCACUGAACCAGAGGGGAACACCGUGCAUGAUGGGCUGCCCUACCCACUUUACGGAUGAGGAAAUGGAGGCUCGGGAGAUGAAGCUGGCAGACUUCCUCUGGAACUUCCUCUGGACAUCUGGAGGGACGUCCUGUCAGCAGAGCAGGCUGGACUGCUUCACAAAGAGGAUGCAGCCCCACCUCCCAGCGGGAGUCAGUUCUGCUCUGAGACGUGAGGCUCAGAAUCAGAUGAAGACUCCUGCUGCUGCAUCUUGAAGAUAAUGAUGCUGUUGCUCCCGGCUGGAACCACAGCAGUGGCGAUGAGUGAACAGCCAGCAGAGUGGAGCG